AAAUGCGCGGUUAGUAAAGCAAAGUGGCGUAACGCUUGACCGGGAUCACGAAAUGCAGCAGUUGUUUUUCGAAGGCGCUAUUGCAAGCUCUUGCAUGGUAAACGUAAAAGCACCGUCGAAGUGUGGUCAAAGUGAGUGACAUCGACAUGUGCCACUGGACAAAAUCCAGAUACCAAUCCAAUGGACCGACAGAGCGUGCGGAUGGCCGAACUUCAAUGUGCAUCUUCAAAAACAAAGCGUAGUGCUGUUUGUGCUGGCGCUUAUUAUGAGUGUCAUCUCCUGUGAUACACACUCAUGCCACAGCAGAGGAGACCAAUGAAAAAAAGUUAUUCAGGGCUGUUUCUGCAAAAGACACUACACAGCAGUGUGCUAAAGGAGGCUGGAGACCUUUUGGAUGCAUCAUUACAUUUUUAGGUUAACUAUUGCAGGUACAUAACCAUAACCAAUCAAUGACUGUUUUUGUGCAUUGUAUAAGCACAGAUAUUCUGGAGAUCAUUUCUUAA